rnacentral:rRNA from 1 species
GGCUCAGGAUGAACGCUGGCGGCGUGCUUAACACAUGCAAGUCGAACGGUGAAGCCCAGCUUGCUGGGUGGAUCAGUGGCGAACGGGUGAGUAACACGUGAGCAAUCUGCCCCUGACUCUGGGAUAAGCGCUGGAAACGGCGUCUAAUACUGGAUAUGAACCGUGGAGGCAUCUUCAACGGUUGGAAAGAUUUUUUGGUCAGGGAUGAGCUCGCGGCCUAUCAGCUUGUUGGUGAGGUAAUGGCUCACCAAGGCGUCGACGGGUAGCCGGCCUGAGAGGGUGACCGGCCACACUGGGACUGAGACACGGCCCAGACUCCUACGGGAGGCAGCAGUGGGGAAUAUUGCACAAUGGGCGCAAGCCUGAUGCAGCAACGCCGCGUGAGGGAUGACGGCCUUCGGGUUGUAAACCUCUUUUAGCAGGGAAGAAGCGAAAGUGACGGUACCUGCAGAAAAAGCGCCGGCUAACUACGUGCCAGCAGCCGCGGUAAUACGUAGGGCGCAAGCGUUAUCCGGAAUUAUUGGGCGUAAAGAGCUCGUAGGCGGUUUGUCGCGUCUGCUGUGAAAUCCCGAGGCUCAACCUCGGGUCUGCAGUGGGUACGGGCAGACUAGAGUGCGGUAGGGGAGAUUGGAAUUCCUGGUGUAGCGGUGGAAUGCGCAGAUAUCAGGAGGAACACCGAUGGCGAAGGCAGAUCUCUGGGCCGUAACUGACGCUGAGGAGCGAAAGGGUGGGGAGCAAACAGGCUUAGAUACCCUGGUAGUCCACCCCGUAAACGUUGGGAACUAGUUGUGGGGUCCAUUCCACGGAUUCCGUGACGCAGCUAACGCAUUAAGUUCCCCGCCUGGGGAGUACGGCCGCAAGGCUAAAACUCAAAGGAAUUGACGGGGACCCGCACAAGCGGCGGAGCAUGCGGAUUAAUUCGAUGCAACGCGAAGAACCUUACCAAGGCUUGACAUAUACGAGAACGCUGCAGAAAUGUAGAACUCUUUGGACACUCGUAAACAGGUGGUGCAUGGUUGUCGUCAGCUCGUGUCGUGAGAUGUUGGGUUAAGUCCCGCAACGAGCGCAACCCUCGUUCUAUGUUGCCAGCACGUAAUGGUGGGAACUCAUGGGAUACUGCCGGGGUCAACUCGGAGGAAGGUGGGGAUGACGUCAAAUCAUCAUGCCCCUUAUGUCUUGGGCUUCACGCAUGCUACAAUGGCCGGUACAAAGGGCUGCAAUACCGUAAGGUGGAGCGAAUCCCAAAAAGCCGGUCCCAGUUCGGAUUGAGGUCUGCAACUCGACCUCAUGAAGUCGGAGUCGCUAGUAAUCGCAGAUCAGCAACGCUGCGGUGAAUACGUUCCCGGGUCUUGUACACACCGCCCGUCAAGUCAUGAAAGUCGGUAACACCUGAAGCCGGUGGCCCAACCCUUGUGGAGGGAGCCG